rnacentral:antisense_RNA from 1 species
UUGUCAUGAUUCACCUCUCAGACAGGUGUUGAUUGAAAGUGCCGGGCGGGUUACCGGCCCGCCCGGUGCGCCU